rnacentral:tRNA from 1 species
CGGAGUUUAGCGCAGUUUGGUAGCGCGCCUGCCUUGGGAGCAGGAGGUCACAGGUUCGAAUCCUGUAACUCCGACCA